rnacentral:lncRNA from 1 species
GUGAAAGUGAAGAUGAAGUACAAGAAUUAUUGAGAGAUCUAUAUCCUAAUAUUGAUGAAAUAACCGUACACACUGAUUGUGAUAAUUAAUUGAAGAGGAACCAAAUAUUGAAGUAAAAAGAUUUUACAGGCUAUUGAAGGAUUUCGAGCAGCCACUGUACCAAAAUUCAAAAGCUUCAAAGCUUUCCUCUUUGAUUAAAUUGCUUCACAUUAAAAGUAUGGGUCGUUGGAGUAAUGAGUCAUUUACAAUGCUAUUGAAAAUGUUAAAAGAGGAGUUGUUACCUGACGGUGCCAAUUUGCCAAAAUCGUAUUUUGAGGCAAAGAAGAUAAUUCAAGACCUUGGCCUUUCCUACAAAAAGAUUGAUGCUUGUACUAAUGAUUGCAUGUUAUACUGGAAGGAGGAUAGCUUACUUGAUUCUUGCAAAGUUUUUGGUGCGUCUAGAUGGAAAAUAGAUAGACAUAGCGGGGAAACAAGGAAUAAAAAAGGUAAGAAGAUAUCAUUAAAGACUUUACGCUAUUUUCCAUUAAAUCCUAGGCUUCAGAGAUUGUUUAUGUCUACAAAGACAUCUACUUUAAUGACAUGGCAUAAAGAUGAAAGAGUUGAUGAUGGAAUAAUGAGGCACCCAGCUGAUUCAAUGGCGUGGAAUUUAUUUGAUGAACUUCAUCCUUCAUUUGCGAAAGAGCCUCGUAAUGUCCGACUUGGACUUGCUAGUGAUAGAUUUCAGCCAUUUUGAAAUUCAAAAACCUCAUAUAGGCGAAUUUAGUUGAAGAGGAACCAAAUAUUGAAGCAAAAAUACUUUACAGACUAUUGAAGGAUUUCGAGCAUCCACUGUACCAAAAUUCAAAAGCUUUAAAGCAUUCCUCUUUGAUUAAAUUGCUUCACAUUAAGAGUAUGGGUCGUUGGAGUAAUAAGUCAUUUGUAAUGCUGUUAAAAAUGUUAAAAGAGAAGUUGUUACCUGAUGGUGCCAAUUUGCCAAAAUCGUAUUAUGAGGCAAAGAAGAUAAUUCAAGACCUUGGCCUUUCCUACAAAAAGAUUGAUGCUUAUACUAAUGAUUGCAUGUUAUACUGGAAGGAGGAU